GAUCCUGGCUCAGAACGAACGCUGGCGGCAGGCCUAACACAUGCAAGUCGAGCGCGCCCUUCGGGGUGAGCGGCGGACGGGUUAGUAACGCGUGGGAACGUACCCUUUGGUAGGGAAUAGCCACUGGAAACGGUGAGUAAUACCCUAUGAGCCCUUCGGGGGAAAGAUUUAUCGCCAAAAGGAUCGGCCCGCGUUAGAUUAGGUAGUUGGUGGGGUAAUGGCCUACCAAGCCUACGAUCUAUAGCUGGUUUUAGAGGAUGAUCAGCAACACUGGGACUGAGACACGGCCCAGACUCCUACGGGAGGCAGCAGUGGGGAAUCUUGGACAAUGGGGGCAACCCUGAUCCCAGCCAUGCCGCGUGAGUGAAGAAGGCCUUAGGGUCGUAAAGCUCUUUCGCCUGUGAAGAUAAUGACGGUAGCAGGUAAAGAAACCCCGGCUAACUCCGUGCCAGCAGCAGC
rnacentral:rRNA from 1 species